CUUGGCUUGGUUAUAAAGGGUUCAAGUCAAGUUUUCCCUUUGCUUCAGCCACAGCCAGACUCUGGCUUGGCUUGUUUUGGUUCCUCCUCUUUCUCCCUUCUCACAUUCUCUGUAGUUGUUUGCCAUCUCCCUCAUCUGCCUGCCUCCAUCUUUGUUCCAGCCUUCCUUUGAAGGACUCCUCAGCUGACUUGACUCUGCCCCCGGAGGACCGCUCUGACUGUGCUCAAGGGCUUCACUUCAAUUCUGGUCCCAUCAGUCUUGCUGCAACUCAAACUUUAUCUCUUUGGGUUUUCAGCUACAGCGGCCCUGCGUCUCCCUGUGACAAACAGCCACUCUCCUUGCUCGGCAGCAAGAAACAAGUCAACGGCAUUCAUUAAUCUGACACGUACGGAGAAAGGUAAAUUUGUUCUGAAAGUGUUGUCUGUGAAGCCAGUGCAUCUCCAGGGCCCUUGUUGCUAACGAUCUGAAACCUGCUGCCUAAGCAAAGCCAGAAUUGCAGCUUUGCAAGUUCUUUUUUUAAAAUAAAUGAUAGAGCAAGGAGCGACCACAAACAGCUGGUUGAAAAGGACGUCUAACUUGAUCCUCUCCAAAUCUGCUCUUCAGCACACUCUCAACUUGUUUUCGCUGAAGCAAACAACAGCCAAGGGCGUUUUCUAAAUCUGUGGCAGAAAUGACAGGCGAUGGCUUCUGCAGAAACCCAUCAACCCACAGGAUCUGACAAUCCUGUUCCUGGGAGUGCCAGGCCUUAUUGUUAGCUCUGGCUCCAUAUUAGAGUUUGCCAGGCUCAUUCGCCUGGAAGGAAAGGUGCCAGAUUUGUAAGCGGAGCUGUUGCCAAAUCUGUGGAAAUGACUGUGGGAUUUUGGAACCCCCACCUGCAUGCAGCAGCUUUCCUAGCAGAGCAUUCCAUAAGUAGUUAAAAAAAAAAAGGUAAAUGAUCCCUGGAAGCUUAAGUCCAGUCAAAGACCACUAUGGGGUGUGGUGCUCAUCUUGCUAAACGGUGUUUCCGUGCGUUUCCCAUAAGUAGUAUUGCCCGUCUCUCUGCUGCCAUCACCCCAAAAGGGCUCCAGUAAGAGGUGGACUUUGGUAAUAUGGUGCCCUGAGCAAGGCAAAAUUUUUGUCCCCCAAACUAUUUCUUAUUUUCACAAUCAUUCCUUUUUGGGACAGUUGCUUUUUAUGGACCUUCUCAGUAGACAUCUGUAAAAAUAUAGCUGCUAACAACAACAACAACUUUUGCACCAUCCUCAGUCUUUUAGGUCAGAUGCAGCUGCUGCCUCUGAAUGCAGACUCCAGGUGUCCCAGUAUCUAAAGGAAUGCCUCACAUGGUACCUGUCUGCCCAAGAUCCCAGAGGAAAAGCCUAUCUCAUUGCCAAGCCUACCCGGACCCCAAGAUCAUCUUCUGAGGCCCUUCUUUGUGUGCCUCCCAUUGGAGGAAUGCUCUCCCCAGGGAGGUUUGCCUGGAGCCUUCAUUGUACACCUUUAGGUAUCAGGCGAAAACAUUCCCCUUCCAUCAGGUCUUGGGCUGAUUAACAUCUUAAAACACUUUUAGAUGUAGUUGUGGGAGGGGAUAUUGGUUUGUACAGUUUUUUUGUUCUUGUUUUAUGCAUUUUGUUUUUUUUUAUAUUGUAUUUUUAUGUGCUGAGCCGCCCUGAGAUCUAUAGAUGAAGGGCGAUACACACACAUACACACACACACACACACACACACACACGCCAACCAACCAACCAAGCCUUGGUUGGUGUUUGGGGAGGCCCUGUGUCCUCCUCACAGUCCUCUCUCGGAAGGGGUUUCAGAGGACAGCUCCCUCUUUGGAAAUAUCCUUUGUUUGAAAGGCUACGUGCUCCACAUUAAAGAAGCCAACACCUGGACAGCACAACACAAGAAGACAGCACCUGGAUCAGGCACAUAUGGGUGAAAUUUUUUUCCUGUUAAUUCUUUCCCAAUUUGCAAUUAGCAUAUACACAUUUCAGACAAAUCUGUGACCUCUUUUCUGACAAAGUAUUUCUUCUUCUGUUUGUUGAUGCCACCCAACUGGACUGCCUUGUGGCUGAAUGUCCUCAGGGUCUUCCCUGCCUCCAGACUGGGACCUGCAGAAAAGGACAACUAAAAUGAUCAAACCCUUCCUUUUGUUAAGUGAAUAGUUCUGCAAGGCCUGUGAAGUACCCUUUUGUAAUGGAAGCCAGGGCAACAUCUUGCCCCAGAAACCAAACAGCUGGAAAUCAUGCGCAGCCAGAGGAGAUCCUGAGCAUAACCAAACAAAUCCAGGAAAAGUUUCUGUCCCUUGCCCUAAAGGAGCAACAAGACUCAGAACAUGACUGCUUGAAUCAUCGGAUAAGGUCAGUGUGCCAGACAAGGACUUAGGUUCAAAUCCUCAUUUAGCUCUAGA